GCAGGGUGGACAAGCUCCUCUGCAGGCUUCCCUUUCCUUGUCUCCCAGUGUCCACUGGCAAAUGAGCGAGAGUCAAAUACAGAAUCUGUGCCCUUGUCCAGCCACUCAGUGAUUCUUCCUAUAUUCAUGGGUGCUGUGCACAGAGUUGCUCAGUCAUCUCAUGCUAGAGAAUUCAUGGGAAACGUAAACUGAUUCCAAUGUAGACUGAAGACUAGCAGAUCUCCAGGAAUCCUCCAGGUCUUUAGCACCAGAUCAGGAGUGCUGAGACAUCCAGCCUUGUGAACAGAGCAACUACCGGAUUCGGAUUCUCAGACUCUCCAGUAUGGUACAGCAAUAUUUGGACU